AGAGUUCGCGGAGGAAGGUGCAAUGCGGAGGGAGCUGGUGGGGCUCCCCGUCCCCGGGCCGGCUAGGUGGGAGCGCGGCCGAGCCCCUACCUUUCCGGCUGGGCGGACACCAGCCGCGCGCCCUCUCCGGGCGUCCCGAACAGGAAAAUCACCGCGAAGGGGGCCGGGGGAAAGCGGCGGGUGGCUUCAGGACAAGGUGAGGAACAGAGGUUCAGCAAGGAGAGUAUUCUAGUCCACCAAAUCAGAUGAAUUCUCCAUGACUUGAAUGGGAGCAGCUUUGCAUCUCUUCUGCAAAUACCAUCGGUUGCUAGUGUCACGAAAUCAUCAUGGAGGCAGGUACCCAGGAGCAAUGUUAAAUGUCGUUCUUAUUUCUGUCUGGUGAGGAUUACUCAACAGCAGCCCAAUGCCCAUUGUUCCUUGAUUGCCUAACAGAAGGGACACCUGCAUAUAUCCCAACACUUUGUCCCUAACAUUUUCCCAAAUGAUUCCCCCCACACACCUUUCAGUUGACCCAUGAUAUUCUUAAGCCUCCUAGAAUGGAUGUUGAGAGCAUUGUAUAGUGAAGGGGUAGGUGGCCAGGAAACUGCCGUGUCCAGGCAAAUGGACUUCUGGAGAGCUUUGGCUAAACUGGUGGAAACAACUCUUUUAACAACUGUCUGGAUCAAAGUGAUUACCUCCUGUCCCCCCUAUACUUGCUAGUUCUUCUUGCUGAAUUUCAUAUUUUUGUUAAUCUUAGAUCCACAGGCUCAAUACUGGGAUAAUCUUCAAAAAUUUCUCUCUAAAUCGGGCAUUUAUGCUAUUGUUUGCUUACCAUAUUUCCCUUUUUCUAGAAAUGACAUCCCACACUCACCACUCAUUCUCUCCAACACUAAUUAUAGGCGGAGGUACCCUGUGUUCUAACAUGAUCCUAUCUCCUACCCUAGCCAUUGUGGAUUUGUUCCAGGGUGGGCGUCUGAACGAACAAGGAAGAAUUAGAGUAUUAGAAAGACUUAAGCUGCAAGUAAAAGAAAACCUGACAACCAGUACCUUAAUUUAUUUUUUCUCAUAGAAUAACAGCUCCAAAGGUAGGCAGCCCAGGGCUAGUGCAUCUGCUCAAGGAUGUAACCAGGACCCAGGCUCCUUCAAUCUUCCUGCUGUGCAGACUUUUUCACGGGACUUUCUUAAUCUUGGUUGCAAAAUGGUGCUGUAACUCCAGAUAUCACAUACAUAUUACUAUAGGAAAGAAUUACAGAGGGGCUAAAGGCAGAACAUAAAAGACAUAAGGGGCAGGCACCAUGGCUUUCUCUAUUUAAUAAAAAUUUUCUGGAAUAUUUGGGUGGUAUCUACACCUCUACGAAAAACUAAUUUUUUUUUUUUGCUGUAUGCGGGCCGCUCACUCUUGUGGCCUCUCUUGUUGCGGAGCACAGGCUCCAGACACGCAGGCUCAGCGGCCAUGGCUCACGGGCCCAGCCACUCCACGGCAUAUGGGAUCUUCCCAGACUGGGACACAAACCCGUGUCCCCUGCAUCGGCAGGCGGACUCUCAACCACUGCGCCACCAGGGAAGCCCGAAAAACUAAUUUUAAAAUGACUUUAGUUACAUAAAUCACAGCAAGAUCUUUUUUUGACCCACUCCUAGAGUAAUGAAAAUAAAAACAAAAAUAAACAAAUGGGACCAAAUUAAACUUAAAAGCUUUUGCACAGCAAAGGAAACCAUAAACAAGAUGAAAAGACAACCCUCAGAAUGGGAGAAGAUAUUUGCAAAUGAAGCAACUGACAAGAGAUUAAUCUCCAAAAUACACAAACAGCUCAUGCAGCUCAACAUC
ensembl:lncRNA